GAACGCCGUGUGAAGCGAAAGUUUCACGCACGGCGUGGGGUGGGGGAAAAUCCGGAGAUAAUUUCAAAGGAUUACCUAUCACCAU
rnacentral:ncRNA from 1 species